rnacentral:rRNA from 1 species
GCGAAAGCAUUUGCCAAGAAUGUCUUCAUUAAUCAAGAACGAAAGUCAGAGGUUCGAAGGCGAUCAGAUACCGCCCUAGUUCUGACCGUAAACGAUGCCAACUAGCGAUCCGCCGGUGGAUUUUUAGCCCUGGUGGGUAGCUUCCCGGAAACGAAAGUCUUCCGGUUCCGGGGGAAGUAUGGUUGCAAAGCUGAAACUUAAAGGAAUUGACGGAAGGGCACCACCAGGAGUGGAGCCUGCGGCUUAAUUUGACCCAACACGGGUAAACUCACCCGGCCCGGACACCGUAAGGAUUGACAGAUUGAUAGCUCUUUCAUGAUUCGGUGGUUGGUGGUGCAUGGCCGUUCUUAGUUCGUGGAUCGAUUUGUCUGGUUUAUUCCGAUAACGAGCGAGACUCUAGCCUACUAAAUAGUAACGAGAUUAUCAAUGUCUCAGUUGCUUCUUAGAGGGAUUUUCGGUGUUUAGCCGCACGAGAUUGAGCAAUAACAGGUCUGUGAUGCCCUUAGAUGUCCGGGGCUGCACGCGCGCUACACUGGCGAAAUCAGCGUGCUGUAUCCAUUCUCGAAAGGGAUUGGUAAACCCAUGAAAAUUUGCCGUGCUUGGGAUCGGAAAUUGCAAUUAUUUUCCGUGAACGAGGAAUUCCAAGUAAGUGCGAGUCAUCAACUCGCUCUGAUUACGUCCCUGCCCUUUGUACACACCGCCCGUCGCUGCCCGGGACUGAGCCAUUUCGAGAAGAUCAGGGACUGGUGGACUGUGGCCUCUUCGGAGGUCCGGUUCGCUGGAAACUGAUUUGAUCGCAGUGGCUUGAACCGGGCAAAAGUCGUAACAAGGUAGCCGUAGGUGAACCUGCGGCUGGAUCA